GUGGGCGUAGCUCAGUUGGUAGAGCUCCGGAUUGUGACUCCGGCGGUCGCGGGUUCAAAUCCCGUCGCUCACCCCA
rnacentral:tRNA from 1 species